GCGGUUGUGGCGGAACGGCAGACGCGUCAGCUUGAGGGGCUGGUGAGAGCAAUCUCGUGUGGGUUCAAGUCCCACCAACCGCACCA
rnacentral:tRNA from 6 species